CCACAGAAACAGAGGCGACUUGCUCCGUAUUGCUCGCCGCUUCCCCCCAAUCUCCCCUCCCCCGCCGGCGAUCGCCGGAGCGCCCGCCGUCGCGGGGAGCCUCCCCUCGCCAUGGCCCUGCAGGGGAAGAAGCUCAUAAACAACCCCGACGAUGUGGUGACGGAGUUCAUCGAGGGGCUGGUGGAGACCUACCCGGGCCUGCAGUACCUGGACGGGUUCCCUCAGAUUAAAGUUGUUCUUCGCGCAGAUGUCGUGGGCGGCGCCUAUGACAAGGUCGCUGUCAUCUCAGGUACGGGGAUUAGUGUGAACCAUGCUUUGUGAAUGAGAUGGUUGAUUGCUGCGUUAAUUUAGUGGAAAUAUUCGGAAUUCUGUUGAAUUGCUCUGUGUGUGGAAU